UACGGAGGGGGCAAGCGUUGUUCAGAAUCAUUGGGCGUAAAGGGCGCGUAGGCGGCCUGUCAAGUCGGGUGUGAAAUCCCUCGGCUCAACCGAGGAACCGCACUCGAUACUGUCGGGCUGGAGUCCGGGAGGGGAUGGUGGAAUUCCCAGUGUAGCGGUGAAAUGCGUAGAUAUUGGGAAGAACACCUGAGGCGAAGGCGGGUUGCUGGGCCGACACUGACGCUGAGGCGCGAAAGCCAGGGGAGCGAACGGG
rnacentral:rRNA from 1 species